rnacentral:rRNA from 1 species
AUUGAACGCUGGCGGCAUGCUUUACACAUGCAAGUCGAACGGUAACAGGGUGCUUGCACCGCUGACGAGUGGCGAACGGGUGAGUAAUGCGUCGGAACGUCCCGAGUAGUGGGGGUUAACGCAGCGAAAGUUGUGCUAAUACCGCAUACGUACUGAGGUAGAAAGUGGGGGACGUUCGGGCCUCACGCUACUCGAGCGGCCGGCGUCUGAUUAGCUAGUAGGUGAGGUAAAGGCUCACCUAGGCGACGAUCAGUAGCGGGUCUGAGAGGAUGGUCCGCCACACUGGGACUGAGACACGGCCCAGACUCCUACGGGAGGCAGCAGUGGGGUAUUUUGGACAAUGGGCGAAAGCCUGAUCCAGCCAUGCCGCGUGUCUGAAGAAGGCCUUCGGGUUGUAAAGGACUUUUGUCGGGGAGGAAAUCCCCAGCGUUAAUACCGCUGGGGGAUGACAGUACCUGAAGAAUAAGCACCGGCUAACUACGUGCCAGCAGCCGCAGUAACAC